rfam:Ruminococcaceae bacterium CPB6, complete genome.
UUAUACUUUUUAAGCUGUCCAAAGACAGCAGGUGCGUUUUGCGCAAAGGGCUGUGCCCGCCUGCCGAGGAAAGCGGAAAUUUUCACUGUAUCAGUGUAAACUUCAGCCUUUCCCGCAGGUGUGGGAAAGGCUUUUUUGUUGCAGAA